rnacentral:lncRNA from 1 species
CCCUGGAGGGCAGCCAGAAGAGAAUGGAAUCAGCCAGGAAUGGAGAGAGCAGAAAUCGCUGUAAAUCCUGACAAUCUCUCUUGAU